rnacentral:sRNA from 1 species
AGGCUGAGGUGAGUCCUGAAGGUGCGCGGUUGGGGCGGAGAGCGUUAUCUGCGGCUCCGAUUUUGCAGAUUCUGGCUGAGGCGUUCGUGAUGUCAGCAGCAGCCGAGACGGGCGUGUUUAAGGCCGGUUGCUAGGGCUGGGGGAACUCAGAUUGCCUCACCUGUGACAUCAGACAUCAUAACAUGGGGCUCACCAAGCAGUACCUACGCUAUGUUGCUAGUGCGGUCUUUGGCGUUAUCGGCAGCCAAAAAGGUAAUAUUGUCUUUGUGACGCUUCGUGGUGAGAAAGGACGUUAUGUGGCAGUACCAGCUUGUGAACAUGUUUUCAUCUGGGACUUAAGGAAAGGAGAGAAGAUUCUUAUCCUUCAGGGGCUUAAACAAGAAGUUACUUGCUUAUGCCCCUCCCCAGAUGGGCUGCACUUAGCUGUUGGGUAUGAGGAUGGGUCAAUCCGAAUCUUCAGUCUCCUGAGUGGGGAAGGAAAUGUGACCUUCAAUGGUCACAAAGCAGCUAUCACUACCUUGAAGUAUGAUCAGCUAGGAGGCAGACUGGCAUCUGGGUCCAAGGACACAGAUAUUAUUGUAUGGGAUGUGAUCAAUGAAAGUGGUCUGUACCGUCUAAAGGGGCACAAGGAUGCCAUCACACAAGCGUUGUUUCUACGAGAAAAGAACCUGCUAGUUACUAGUGGGAAAGAUACCAUGGUGAAAUGGUGGGACCUUGAUACUCAGCACUGCU